rnacentral:tRNA from 1 species
GGCUUUAUAGUCAAGUAUGACAUUAGACUGCAAUUCUAAAGGAGCGUAAGCGCUGAAGCCU